UAUAAUACUACAAAAGCAGUGGAUCGACAUGUUACACCCGAGAUGUUUCAAAGAAUUGUUACAAAGACAGGCAUUUUCAUUCCUAUUGGAACAUGCACUUGAUAAAGUACCAGGGAAGCGUUACAGGGUGAAGGUUGUUGACACAAUCCUUGAUUUAGAUGUAACUAAGAAUAAAGAAACAAUAACCAAUAUUACAAGUUUUUACAACUUUAGAUUUGAGAGCAGUCAUUUGAGGAUGUGGCAGACAUACAAUAUUGAUGAAGGAAAGCUUGUGACUUUAAAAUCAACAAAGAAUUCUGCAGAGGCGGAUUUAGAGGGUUUUUCAGGGGACCCGGGCCCCCCUUUUGUGGGAAAAAUUUUGUUGAUUAUAUAGGGAAUCACUGAAGCAUGACUGGAGCGGGCCCCCUCUUAAGCAGUCAGUGGGCCCCCCCUUAUGAAAAUUUCUGGAUCCGCCACUGUUCUGUGCAGUUAAAAGUGCUCAAUGACUGGACAGAGAUGUCUUUUAAUGACCUCAUUACUGAAGGUAAUUUUAUAAUUAUUUCAUUUACUAACUGUCAUGUACAAAACUUAAGCACACUUGUAAGACAAUGAUCAUUAUUAUAUUUUGUCACAACAACCGAGAAAAACCAACACAAAACUCAAUAAACAUUGCUAUGCAUUAUUAAAAUUUCCUGCUUGUGGGUUACAGGAUUAUGGGUAUCGACAGAAUCUUAUUAUAGAUAAUCAGGCUGUCCAUUGUUGAAAGAGAAAUUUAUACAUGUUGUAUCGUUGUCCU